CGGUCCAGACUCCUACGGGAGGCAGCAGUAGGGAAUCUUCCGCAAUGGGCGAAAGCCUGACGGAGCAAUGCCGCGUGAGUGAAGAAGGCCUUCGGGUCGUAAAACUCUGUUAUAAGAGAAGAACAAAUUGUAGAGUAACUGCUACAGUCUUGACGGUAUCUUAUCAGAAAGCCACGGCUAACUACGUGCCACAGCCGCGGUAA
rnacentral:rRNA from 1 species